AGUCGAACGGUAACGCGAGGAGCUUGCUCCUUGGCGACGAGUGGCGGACGGGUGAGUAAUACUUAGGAAUCUACCCAAUAGUGGGGGACAACUCGGGGAAACUCGAGCUAAUACCGCAUACGCCCUACGGGGGAAAGCGGGGGAUCUUCGGACCUCGCGCUAUUGGAUGAGCCUAAGUCGGAUUAGCUUGUUGGUGGGGUAAAGGCCUACCAAGGCGACGAUCCGUAGCUGGUCUGAGAGGACGAUCAGCCACACUGGGACUGAGACGGCCCAGACUCCUACGGGAGGCAGCAGUGGGGAAUAUUGGACAAUGGGGGCAACCCUGAUCCAGCAAUGCCGCGUGUGUGAAGAAGGCCUGCGGGUUGUAAAGCACUUUCAGUAGAGAAGAAAAGCUUACGGUUAAUAACUGUGAGUCUUGACGUAACCUACAGAAGAAGCACCGGCUAACUCCGUGCCAGCAGCCGCGGUAAUACGGAGGGUGCAAGCGUUAAUCGGAAUUACUGGGCGUAAGGCGCGCGUAGGCGGUUUAGUAAGUCGGAUGUGAAAGCCCUGGGCUCAACCUGGGAAUUGCAUUCGAUACUGCUCGACUAGAGUAUGGUAGAGGGAAGUGGAAUUUC
rnacentral:rRNA from 1 species